ACUACGGGGGGCAGCAGUGAGGAAUAUUGGUCAAUGGGCGCGAGCCUGAACCAGCCAAGUAGCGUGAAGGAUGACUGCCCUACGGGUUGUAAACUUCUUUUAUAAAGGAAUAAAGUGAGGCACGUGUGCCUUUUUGUAUGUACUUGAUGAAUAAGGAUCGGCUAACUCCGUGCCAGCAGCCGCGGUAAUACGGAGGAUCCGAGCGUUAUCCGGAUUUAGUAGGUUUAAAGGGAGCGUAGAUGGGUUGUUAAGUUCGUUGUGAAAGUUUGCGGCUCAACCGUAAAAUUGCAAUUGAUACUGGCAGUCUUGAGUACAGUUGAGGUAGGCGGAAUUCGUGGUGUAGCGGUGAAAUGCUUAGAUCUCACGAAGAACUCCGAUUGCGAAGGCAGCUUACUAAACUGCCACUGACAUUGAUGCUCGAAAGUGUGGGUAUCAAACAGGAUUAGAUACCCCUGUAGUC
rnacentral:rRNA from 1 species